rnacentral:siRNA from 1 species
UUGGUUCUAGUGUCAACUUGAUGC